rnacentral:rRNA from 1 species
UACAGAGGGGGCAAGCGUUAUUCGGAAUUAUUGGGCGUAAAGGGCGCGUAGGCGGCAUGGCAAGUGGAUGGUGAAAUCCCUCGGCUUAACCGAGGAACUGCCAUCCAGACUGCUUUGCUUGAGGCCGGGAGAGGUGAGUGGAAUUCCCAGUGUAGCGGUGAAAUGCGUAGAUAUUGGGAGGAACACCAGUGGCGAAGGCGGCUCACUGGACCGGUUCUGACGCUGAGGCGCGAAAGCGUGGGGAGCAAACGGG